rnacentral:snRNA from 2 species
GGAAGUGUGUGUCUUCUGUUUGUGAUGGCACGUAGCUGGACAUUGAUCGCUAGACCGUUAUUAGUGUUUGCAGAUCUGCUCAGUGGACAUCCGUCACACUAUUGUUCUCCCAACAUAAAUUUGCCUGACAGACGUUUGGUGCUGAAGUUCUAGUGCCGGUCUUCUGUUGCAUCGACGCCGGGUCGAAACGCACAGUCAUGCAUUGUCCGUCGGGUGUUUCUGGCGAAGAUGGUGGUGUCAUGCCGCCAUUCCGAACCAAGGCUCCUUGGCGGUAUACAAUUGCUGUGAGACCAGCAUCGAAUUUCCCAGUCUGUCGUUUUCAAAAUUUCUUAGUUAAGUAACUUGGUAGCUUAGCUUCGGAUUUUCGUAAAUUUACAGUUCAGAACACUUCCAUACCAGUGGCAUUGCCGAGCAAUUUGCCCAUUAAUUUU